AAAGCAUGGUGAGGAUAUUUUCUAAGAAUUUCUUUAAAUCAAUCCCAACUCUCAUAAAUUGAUUCUCCUUCAAUAUCGCUAAAAAAAGUGACAUCAUUUUUAAUUUU